AGGGGGACCACCUGUCAUUACAGGCAGCCCCCACUGCUGGCAAUGCUGCAGCCAGCUAUCCCGGCCAUGUGAUUGUGAGGUCCUUGCAAGGACCUCACUCUCACAUGGCCGGGGGGCUUCCAGGGGGUCGGACGUGCUGUGGGGGACUCCCUGGGAGUCCCCCCAACCGCGAUCACCGGCGACCGGGUAAGUAGGAAAAGACCGGA